rnacentral:rRNA from 1 species
CUUGCUUCUCUUGAGAGCGGCGGACGGGUGAGUAAUGCCUAGGAAUCUGCCUGGUAGUGGGGGAUAACGUUCGGAAACGGACGCUAAUACCGCAUACGUCCUACGGGAGAAAGCAGGGGACCUUCGGGCCUUGCGCUAUCAGAUGAGCCUAGGUCGGAUUAGCUAGUUGGUGGGGUAAUGGCUCACCAAGGCGACGAUCCGUAACUGGUCUGAGAGGAUGAUCAGUCACACUGGAACUGAGACACGGUCCAGACUCCUACGGGAGGCAGCAGUGGGGAAUAUUGGACAAUGGGCGAAAGCCUGAUCCAGCCAUGCCGCGUGUGUGAAGAAGGUCUUCGGAUUGUAAAGCACUUUAAGUUGGGAGGAAGGGUUGUAGAUUAAUACUCUGCAAUUUUGACGUUACCGACAGAAUAAGCACCGGCUAACUCUGUGCCAGCAGCCGCGGUAAUACAGAGGGUGCAAGCGUUAAUCGGAAUUACUGGGCGUAAAGCGCGCGUAGGUGGUUUGUUAAGUUGGAUGUGAAAUCCCCGGGCUCAACCUGGGAACUGCAUUCAAAACUGACUGACUAGAGUAUGGUAGAGGGUGGUGGAAUUUCCUGUGUAGCGGUGAAAUGCGUAGAUAUAGGGAAGGAACACCAGUGGCGA